rnacentral:misc_RNA from 1 species
AGUUCUUGUUGGAUCAAUAACAACUGCAAGAAAGGGUUCCUGAUAUUGCUGGUUGAGCAUUUGGGUAGAUACAUCAAUGCCAGAGAGCCAGCAUCCAUAACCAGGAUGGGAAUGGUACCACCCGACCACAUUUUCCAAACGACCAGCCUGCUUGUUGGUCUGUGAAUAUUCGACCAUAUAUUCAUACGCAUCAGCUUGAGCAUUAACCCUAGUUUCAGUGCCUUCAACGGGGAGGGCAAAAGCGUCCAUUACAAUGAUGGCAUCGCCGUCAGUCUUACCCUGCAUGAGUCCCAUGACCUCAAUUGUACCUCCGGAACGCGCGUGAACAACCAUCUUGAGAAGAGCAAGAGCAGAGAUCUUCACGCGCUUGAAGUAGUGAGGGUCACUCGUCCACGGCUUCUCCCGCUGGAACUUAGUCUGUGCCGCAUCGUCGUAGUGGAAUAUAGCGUCCGACGCGGAGUUUUCCGGUUUCGACCCCGACGGCGCGUCGAUUGUUACGAUGUUGUUCUCUAACUCCCAGGUUUGCUGCGCCAUCGCGGCCGACGAUGCGUAAGAAUUCAGAGCGUCCAUUGUAACUUCAGAGAGAAGGGCAAUUGCCG